ensembl:snRNA U6 U6 spliceosomal RNA
CUCCUUCAGCAGCACAUAUACUAAAAUUGGAAUAAUACAGAGAUGAUUAGCAUGGUCUCUAUACAAGAAUAACAUGCAAAUUUAUCCUUUUUUU